rnacentral:rRNA from 1 species
CGAGAUGGAUUCCUCCCCGGCAAGGGGGCAGGGACACAGGUGCUGCAUGGCUGUCGUCAGCUCGUGUCGUGAGAUGUUGGGUUAAGCCCGCAACGAGCGCAACCCUCGCCCUUAGUUGCCAUCAUUCAGUUGGGCACUCUAAGGGGACUGCCGGUGAUAAGCCGCGAGGAAGGUGGGGAUGACGUCAAGUCCUCAUGGCCCUUACGGGCUGGGCUACACACGUGCUACAAUGGCGGUGACAGUGGGAUGCAAUGGAGCAAUCCUGCGCAAAUCUCCAAAAGCCGUCUCAGUUCGGAUUGUGCUCUGCAACUCGAGCACAUGAAGUUGGAAUCGCUAGUAAUCGCAGAUCAGCACGCUGCGGUCGAAUACGUUCCCGGGCCUUGUACACACCGCCCGUCACACCAUGGGAGUUGGCUUUACCUGAAGACGGUGCGCUAACCGCAAGGAGGCAGCCGGCCACGGUAGGGUCAGCGACUGGGGUGAAGUCGUAACAAGGUAGGCGUAGAUGA